rnacentral:misc_RNA from 1 species
GAUGAAGAACGUAGCGAAAUGCGAUACGUAGUGUGAAUUGCAGAAUUCAGUGAAUCAUCGAAUCUUUGAACGCACAUUGCACCUCUCGGUAUUCCGGGAGGUAUGCCUGUUCGAGCGUCAUUUGUACCCUCAAGCUCUGCUUGGUGUUGGGUGUUUGUUCCGCCUCUGUGUGUGAACUCGCCUCAAAACAAUUGGUAGCCGGCGUACUUGUUUCGGAGCGCAGCACAUUUUGCGAUCCAGAUCAACGUACAGCGGCAUCCAAGAAGCCUUAUUUAACGCUCUUGACCUCGGAUCAGGUAGGGAUACCCGCUGAACUUAAGCAUAGCAAUAAGCGGAGGA